rnacentral:pre_miRNA from 1 species
AGGGGGCUGCUGUCUCCUUUGGAUCUUUUUGCGGUCUGGGCUUGCUGUUCCUCUCAACAAUAGUCAGGAAGCCCUUACCCCAAAAAGUAUCUGCGGGAGGCCUGGUCUACAGGAGAGACACCC